rnacentral:lncRNA from 1 species
AUGGAUCUUGAAGCACUUAUCAAUUAAGUGUCCAGAUUUUUUACAGUAUCUACAAAAUAAAGGUCCCCUGGCUUGGUCAAAAUUGACUCUCUGUUGGUCCAAAUUGACUCUCUGUCUGAAAGGAGGAGGAAUAGACAUUGUGGCCUUGUUAAAUCCAACAGGCUGCCUAUUAGUAUGUACAUUAAAAGAGACAGAGUCUGGAUUAAAAUGAGAAGAAGACUGGACUGGUCUUUGUUUCUCAUCAUUGAGGACCAUAUUAUAGACAUUAUCAAGAGAAGGAGGAGGUUGCAUCAUCAAAAGGUUACUCCUGACCCCCAUAUAUGCUUCAUUCAGACCCAUUAAAACUGAAAGACCUUAUUAUCAUCACUUUCCUGCACUAUGCCAUCUUUUGCAGCACAAAUACACCUUUGACCAUGAUUAACACACAUAGAUUUAAGCUCAUCCCACAUACCUUUUAGCUUAUUAAAAUAGGAAGCUAUAUCUAAGGACCCUUGAGAGGUGUGGGACAACUC